ACUGACAGUUGCUUUUCUACAAUAAAAAUUAAAUCAUCAUAUUGACUAACAUUUUUUUUGAACCAAAUACUUUUUGUAAGUGUUAUAAGUCUUUAACAUUCCAUGAUAAGAUUUUACAAAGCACAGAGUAAUAUAAUCUUGAGUUCAAAGUGAAUAGCUUACAAGAAAACGAGAAGAAAACCAAAGAAGAUUAAAAUGAGUUAAUAACUUCUUCAGGUUGCCGGGACGUGCGGUGCCAAUGGGAAUCACAUCAAAGGUGGAGUUACGAGUGAUGUGAAAAGGAAAAGACCU